UCAGGCCUAACACAUGCAAGUCGAACGGAUCACUUCGGUGGUUAGUGGCGAACGGGUGAGUAAUGCCUAGGAAUCUGCCUAUUAGCGGGGGGUAACGUUCCGAAAGGAACGCUAAUACCGCAUACGCCCUACGGGGGAAAGCAGGGGAUCUUCGGACCUUGCACUAAUAGGUGAGCCUAGGCCAGAUUAGCUAGUUGGUGGGGUAAAGGCUCACCAAGGCGACGAUCUGUAGCGGGUCUGAGAGGAUGAUCCGCCACACUGGAAGUGAGACACGGUCCAGACUCCUACGGGAGGCAGCAGUGGGGAAUAU
rnacentral:rRNA from 1 species